rnacentral:rRNA from 1 species
ACGGAGGGUGCAAGCGUUGUUCGGAAUCACUGGGCGUAAAGCGCGUGUAGGCGGUCUGAUCAGUCGAGUGUGAAAGCCCGAGGCUCAACUUCGGAAGUGCACUCGAAACUGUCAGGCUUGAGUACGGGAGAGGGAAGUGGAAUUCCUGGUGUAGAGGUGAAAUUCGUAGAUAUCAGGAGGAACACCGGUGGCGAAGGCGGCUUCCUGGACCGAUACUGACGCUGAGACGCGAAAGCGUGGGGAGCAAACAG